rnacentral:lncRNA from 1 species
GGAGCAUAGGAGAUCAUGGCCUUUUUGACUGAUCUGAAAGCAGACAAGUCUUGCUGCAAAUGACAGUUUUUGAGUGAGUAAACAUGUUGCAAGGUGAGGUGUACAACUGGACAGAGAAGUAUCCCGUCUACUUGGUGUGCGGUGACAGCUUAUUGUGUUCUAUAACAGGCUAAGAGAUCAAAGGGGAACAUAAAUUUUACUUAAGUUCCAUGCAGCUAGUGUUCAAAUGGCAGGGUUAGCUCUCUACGAGAACUGUCAUAUUCUAACCUAUCAUCAUUAUAAGUUGCAGAUGUAAUGCAGUUCGUCUAAAAGGUUUGGCCUUGCGUACACCAAGUUUCACCUCUGAUACUUGUAAAGUAUUAUAAACUGUUGACUUGUAAUCAGUAAUCAAUGAGAUAUUAGUGACAUCGUAUUUUAUUUUCUCUUUUCAAGUAGUGCAUCUUCUUUUGAUCUUUUGAUUGUCUUUGCAAGAGUUGAAUGAAGUGAAGGAACCGGUGCAUUUUUAUUUUCGCAAGGAAAUCGAUACUCUCUUAAUGGGAAUUGUAAGGUAAAAUGCUGAGGAGCCUGUUCCCUCUGCUGAUUGUUAUUGUGUAAAAAUGUGGUGAAUCUAUAUCUUUAUGAAUUCUCAUUUAAAUUUGCUAAAGGAUCUGGUUUGUACUGAACAAAGCUAGAUCUAUCAUAAUGCCCUUUGUUGCUUCCUUUAGUUAGCUUGGUGUUUUUCAUGCCUCUUAGUUCACUGGAACUUUUUUAUUAUCCUUGAAACAGCUUGAUGACCGAGCUAUCGAUGUGGUGAUGGCUAAUAAGAAAGUGAUAGGAGUUGUGCUCGGCUUUCUUUCCUUCUUUGCCAAGGAUAUUCUUAUGAACUUAUCUGAAAAAUGAAAAAAAACAAAGCUUUGCAUCAUCUUUACCAUAGUUGUUAAGGCGUCCUUGAAGCGUCGCUUAGGCGACGCUUAGGCGGUAAGGUGUGCAGCAGUGGCAAGGCGUCCCUCUCGCCUUAGACCGUAGACUAAGACAUCAUGGCGCCUUGAGCCCUUGAAGCUUGCUAAGACAUCGAUUUGAAGACGCCUUGAAGGUCUGCAGGGAUGGGUAAAGGGCCUGCUGCAACCUGACCCGAGCACAAAGCGAGUGGGAUCUGUAGCGUUGUCGUUGGUCUGCGGCGGAUCUACAGCUGUGGGGGUGUUGGUCUCUUGGCGCCGGCGGCGCCCCUCCCCUCCGUGAGCUCUCCAGGCAGAAUAGAGGAAGGAGGGAAGAGGAGGGGGGCACGCCCAUAGCAGAUUUGGUGGCGGCGACUGGGUGCUGGCAGUGGCAGUGAGUUGAGCGUUGGCGGCGGCUGCGGGAAGAGCAUGCUGCCAUAGGGAGGGAAUGGGAGGGGAGGGGAAUAAGUGGCUG